UACGUAGGGUGCAAGCGUUAAUCGGAAUUACUGGGCGUAAAGCGUGCGCAGGCGGUUCUAUAAGACAGAUGUGAAAUCCCCGGGCUCAACCUGGGAACUGCAUUUGUGACUGCAUAGCUAGAGUACGGUAGAGGGGGAUGGAAUUCCGCGUGUAGCAGUGAAAUGCGUAGAUAUGCGGAGGAACACCGAUGGCGAAGGCAGCCCCCUGGGUCAAGACUGACGCUCAUGCACGAAAGCGUGGGGAGCAAACAGG
rnacentral:rRNA from 1 species